UCGGGAAUAUUGCGCAAUGGAGGAAACUCUGACGCAGUGACGCCGCGUAUAGGAAGAAGGUUUUCGGAUUGUAAACUAUUGUCGUUAGGGAAGAUACAAGACAGUACCUAAGGAGGAAGCUCCGGCUAACUACGUGCCAGCAGCCGCGGUAAUACGUAGGGAGCAAGCGUUAUCCGGAUUUAUUGGGUGUAAAGGGUGCGUAGACGGGACAACAAGUUAGUUGUGAAAUCCCUCGGCUCAGCUGAGGAACUGCAACUAAAACUAUUGUUCUUGAGUGUUGGAGAGGAAAGUGGAAUUCCUAGUGUAGCGGUGAAAUGCGUAGAUAUUAGGAGGAACACCGGUGGCGAAGGCGACUUUCUGGACAAUAACUGACGUUGAGGCACGAAAGUGUGGGGAGCAAACAGGAUUAGAUACC
rnacentral:rRNA from 1 species